rnacentral:rRNA from 1 species
AACGAACGCUGGCGGCAGGCUUAACACAUGCAAGUCGAACGCCCCGCAAGGGGAGUGGCAGACGGGUGAGUAACGCGUGGGAAUCUACCCAGAUCUACGGAACAACAGUUGGAAACGACUGCUAACACCGUAUACGCCCUACGGGGGAAAGAUUUAUCGGAUUUGGAUGAGCCCGCGUAAGAUUAGCUAGUUGGUGGGGUAAUGGCCUACCAAGGCGACGAUCUUUAGCUGGUCUGAGAGGAUGAUCAGCCACACUGGGACUGAGACACGGCCCAGACUCCUACGGGAGGCAGCAGUGGGGAAUAUUGGACAAUGGGCGCAAGCCUGAUCCAGCCAUGCCGCGUGAGUGAUGAAGGCCUAGGGUUGUAAAGCUCUUUCACCGAUGAAGAUAAUGACGGUAGUCGGAGAAGAAGCCCCGGCUAACUUCGUGCCAGCCGCCGCCGUAACAC